rnacentral:lncRNA from 1 species
UGGGGAGAUGGAGUGCGGAAUGGGAUGAAGUUCGGCCUGAUUGGGAAGAGGAUAAGGAUGAUCCUCUGUUCCGAAGAAGGGGAGUUGGAACGUUUAUCUGUGGAGGGGAUCAUGAACGGGAUACUCGGGAGGAGAUGUUCCGGAAGCCUUGGAGAUGAAGACGUGUGAAACAGGGAAGGAAUGGAUUCGGCCUGUUUUGUUUUGAAACUAAAACAGGGGAUGUGGAACUGUGAACGCGACGUUUGAGUUCAUCCCGUGAAGAUGGAGGAGAUACAGUUGGUUUGGUCGCUGGGACUUGUUUUGUUCGUGAGACAUAGGCGCGAGGGGAGCUGAGAAAAUCUCGGCUGGGAGUUUGGUGUUGGGAUCUCGGAUGGUGGAGCUUCGGAUCAAGCCGGAAGAGGAGACGAAUCCAUGAGCUGGGAGGUAAGAUCGAAUCCUGAGUUUGGUAGAGGGAUACGGCUGAGAACAGAGGAUCUUGGAUGCACACGGG